rnacentral:rRNA from 1 species
AUGGCCUGGACGCUCGUCAACCUCGGCCACUUCGCGAUUACAUACCACUUCUUCCACUGGAAGAAGGGAACUCCAUUCGCUGAUGACCAGGGGAUGUAUAAUAGGUUGACUUGGUGGGAGCAAAUGGACAACGGCAAGCAGCUUACUCGCAACAGAAAAUUUCUUGUUGUGGUUCCUCAUGGCAGGAUGUAUGCACAAAGAUUAAUUCUGGCUAGUCAGAAAAACUACACUUAUUCAUUAAUUCUGCAAAGAACACUUGCUAGUAACAUCUAG